rnacentral:rRNA from 1 species
CCUACGGGAUGCUGCAGUGGGGAAUAUUGGACAAUGGGCGAAAGCCUGAUCCAGCCAUGCCGCGUGUGUGAAGAAGGCCUUCGGGUUGUAAAGCACUUUCAGUGGGGAAGAAAGCCUUGGGGCUAAUACCCUCGAGGAAGGACAUCACCCACAGAAGAAGCACCGGCUAACUCCGUGCCAGCAGCCGCGGUAAUACGGAGGGUGCGAGCGUUAAUCGGAAUUACUGGGCGUAAAGCGCGCGUAGGCGGUCUGAUAAGCCGGUUGUGAAAGCCCCGGGCUCAAACUGGGAACGGCAUCCGGAACUGUCAGGCUAGAGUGCAGGAGAGGAAGGUAGAAUUCCCGGUGUAGCGGUGAAAUGCGUAGAGAUCGGGAGGAAUACCAGUGGCGAAGGCGGCCUUCUGGACUGACACUGACGCUGAGGUGCGAAAGCGUGGGUAGCAAACAGGAUUAGAUACCCCGGUAGUC